rnacentral:rRNA from 1 species
AAUAGAUACCCCGGUACGUCCACGCCGUAAACGAUGAGUACUAGGUGUAGGAGGUAUCGACUCCUUCUGUGCCGCAGUUAACACAAUAAGUACUCCGCCUGGGAAGUACGAUCGCAAGAUUAAAAACUCAAAGGAAUUGACGGGGGGCCCGCACAAGCAGCGGAGCAUGUGGUUUAAUUCGAAGCAACGCGAAGAACCUUACCUAGACUUGACAUCUCCUGAAUUACUCGUAAUGGAGGAAGCCCUUCGGGGCAGGAAGACAGGUGGUGCAUGGUUGUCGUCAGCUCGUAUCGUGAGAUGUUAGGUUAAGUCCUGCAACGAGCGCAACCCUUAUCAUUAGUUGCUACCAUUAAGUUGAGCACUCUAGUGAGACUGCGUGGUUAACGCGGAGGAAGGUGGGGAUGACGUCAAAUCAUCAUGCCCCUUAUGUCUAGGGCUACACACGUGCUACAAUGGGUAAUACAAAGAGAAGCAAUACAGUGAUGUGGAGCAAAACUAUAAAAUUACCCUCAGUUCGGAUUGUAGGCUGAAACUCG